rnacentral:rRNA from 1 species
CCUACGGGAGGCAGCAGUGAGGAAUAUUGGGCAAUGCCCGAAAGGGUGACCCAGCAACGCCGCGUGGAGGAUGAAGUCCUUCUGGACGUAAACUCCUUUUAGAGGGGACGAAAAGCCCGAUUUGUCGGGAAUUGACGGUACCCUCAGAAAAAGCACCGGCUAACUACGUGCCAGCAGCCGCGGUAAUACGUAGGGCAAGCGUUGUCCGGAUUCACUGGGUGUAAAGGGUGCGCAGGCGGGCUCUUAAGUCAAAGGUAAAGUCUCUCGGCUUAACCGAGAAAUUGCCUUUGAUACUGAGAGCCUUGAGUACGGGAGAGGGAGAUGAAAUUCCAGGUGUAGCGGUGAAAUGCGUAGAUAUCUGGAGGAACACCGGAGGCGAAGGGGGUCCCCUGGCCCGUUACUGACGCUCAGGCACGAAAGCGUGGGGAACAAACAGGAUUAGAUACCCCGUUAGU